rnacentral:rRNA from 1 species
GGAAUUUUCCGCAAUGGGCGAAAGCCUGACGGAGCAACGCCGCGUGAGGGAUGAAGGCCUCUGGGCUGUAAACCUCUUUUUUCAAGGAAGAAGAUCUGACGGUACUUGAAGAAUAAGCCACGGCUAAUUCCGUGCCAGCAGCCGCGGUAAUACGGGAGUGGCAAGCGUUAUCCGGAAUUAUUGGGCGUAAAGCGUCCGCAGGCGGCCUUGUAAGUCUGUUGUUAAAGCGUGGAGCUUAACUCCAUUUGAGCAAUGGAAACUGCAAGGCUUGAGUGUGGUAGGGGCAGAGGGAAUUCCCGGUGUAGCGGUGAAAUGCGUAGAUAUCGGGAAGAACACCAGUGGCGAAGGCGCUCUGCUGGGCCAUAACUGACGCUCAUGGACGAAAGCCAGGGGAGCGAAAGGGAUUAGAUACCCCAGUAGUC